rnacentral:rRNA from 1 species
UACGUAGGGUGCGAGCGUUGUCCGGAAUUAUUGGGCGUAAAGAGCUCGUAGGCGGUGUGUCACGUCGAUCGUGAAAACUUACAGCUUAACUGUGAGCGUGCGGUCGAUACGGGCAUCACUGGAGUUCGGCAGGGGAGACGGGAAUUCCUGGUGUAGCGGUGAAAUGCGCAGAUAUCAGGAGGAACACCGGUGGCGAAGGCGGGUCUCUGGGCCGAUACUGACGCUGAGGAGCGAAAGCGUGGGGAGCGAACAGG